AUGCUCGAUCAGUGUGCAGAGGCAUCCCAACCCUUGUGCAUCCUGGACUGCGCCAUCUGGCAGCAUCACCUGGCCUUUGCACUAUGUCUGUGCUCCAUGAACACGACACAAGAUAAGAGCCGUGGGCAAUGACGAGGUCGAGUAAGAAUUGAGUAGAUGGCCCAUCUAUUGCUCUUCCCGGAACACCAAGAGGACAGAGUUUGAAAUGGAGGAAACAAGGUGUUUGUGAGUCUUUGGACACAGAGUAAAGUGAGAGGAUAGAACCACACAUGGCUGAGAUGAGGGGAGUGGGACAAGUUGCCCCAGUCGCCAGAGUCUGGGAGGGCUUGGCGUGGGGAAGGAAGAGGCAAAGCUGGGUUCACAAUGGUGGUGGGUCAUCCAAGUGUGUGUGACCAGCAGAGAGCUGGAAAUAUGGGAUGGAAACCGGAGAACUCUCAGGUCUGGGGAGGGGAUUUGGAACAACCUGCGUCCAUGUAGAAAGGUUUAGAGAGAGCCUCUGAGGGAGACAUCAGAGGGACAAGCACAAGGUCUGCGCUGGGACAAAUGUCUGCACUCAGUGGGAGAAGAAAGCAAAGCUGGUUGGUGGGACACAGCGGGGCUGGUUGGCAAGAUCAGAGAAAGAAUUAGGCUUGUGUAAUAGAAGCAAGAAGGUCUAGUGUUUAAAGAGAGACGCUUCCCCGGGUUCCAACUGCUACAGAAAAGUCAAACGCCAUGGCUCUGGAUGUCCUCAGAAAUUAGUGUGUAAUCCCCUUAUAAAAUAGCUGCUUUAUUAGCGCGAUAGAAACAGAAGGCCCACUGGAGGGGUGGUGGUUAGGGGUCAGAGGGAGGGAAGAAGUAGAGUUAGAAAGGGAGAGGCGAUCUAGAUUUUAAGAAGCUUAAAAUCUUGGGGAGGAGACAUGACAGCAGUCCAAAGGAGCAGGAGAAUUAAAGACCAUUUUCCCCUGGGAUUUGGGAGCUCUAAGUAUACUUUUGGGCAGUACAGGGGAGGUGAUGAAUGUUCUAGAAGGUAGGGGAAGGCUGGGGACCCCUGGAUGGGCCUGGACUAUUCCAAGGGGAGGUCAAGAGGGAAAGAGGAAAGAACAUGAAUAUAUAGGAGGUGAUUCAUGGAGGUCUUAGCAGGAGAAAGCUUCAGGCUUAAGCAAGAAUACUUUUUUUUUUUAUUCCUUACAA